rnacentral:rRNA from 1 species
AGAGUUUGAUCAUGGCUCAGAUUGAACGCUGGCGGCAUGCCUUACACAUGCAAGUCGAACGGUAACAGGUCUUCGGAUGCUGACGAGUGGCGAACGGGUGAGUAAUACAUCGGAACGUGCCCAGUAAUGGGGGAUAGCUCGGCGAAAGCCGGAUUAAUACCGCAUACGCCCUGAGGGGGAAAGUGGGGGACCGCAAGGCCUCGCGUUAUUGGAGCGGCCGAUGGCUGAUUAGCUAGUUGGUAGGGUAAAGGCCUACCAAGGCGACGAUCAGUAGCUGGUCUGAGAGGACGAUCAGCCACACUGGGACUGAGACACGGCCCAGACUCCUACGGGAGGCAGCAGUGGGGAAUCUUGGACAAUGGGGGAAACCCUGAUCCAGCAAUGCCGCGUGUGCGAAGAAGGCCUUCGGGUUGUAAAGCACUUUUGUCAGGGAAGAAAUCCUUUGGGCUAAUACCCUAGGGGGAUGACGGUACCUGAAGAAUAAGCACCGGCUAACUACGUGCCAGCAGCCGCGGUAAUACGUAGGGUGCAAGCGUUAAUCGGAAUUACUGGGCGUAAAGCGUGCGCAGGCGGUUGUGUAAGACAGGUGUGAAAUCCCCGGGCUUAACCUGGGAAUUGCAUUUGUGACUGUACGACUAGAGUGUGUCAGAGGGGGGUGGAAUUCCACGUGUAGCAGUGAAAUGCGUAGAUAUGUGGAGGAACACCAAUGGCGAAGGCAGCCCCCUGGGAUAACACUGACGCUCAUGCACGAAAGCGUGGGGAGCAAAUAGGAUUAGAUACCCCGGUAGUCC